rnacentral:tRNA from 1 species
GCCUGGCUGGCUCAGUCGGUGGAGCGCGCGACUCUUAAUCUCGAGGUGCUGAGUUCGAGCCCCACACUAGGCA